rnacentral:lncRNA from 1 species
CUCUCUGUCUCUCUCUGUCUCUCUCUGUCUCCCUCUCUCUCUCUGGUUUUGGUUUUGGUUUUGGUUUUUAAUGGCUGCACCUGCUGCACAUGGAGUUUCCCAGGCUAGGGGUCUAAUCAGAACUACAGCUGCCGGCAUAUACCACAGCCACAGCAAGUCACGAUGUGAGCCGAGUCGGUGACCUACAGCACAGCGCAUGGCAACACCAGAUCCUUAACCCACUGAGCGAGUCCAGGGAUCAAACCUGCAGCCUCAUGCUUUCUAGUCAGUUUUGGUUCCGCCGUGCCACAACGGGAACUCCAAUUUCCUCCUUUUGUCUGUCAGUUUCAACUAUGCAAGUCUACACUGUUCAAAUCAGUGGAGACCUACAUUUUUCCUGGGUUGGACGAGUGUUGACGGAAUGUCUCUCCCAAUGCAUGACUGAUUGAAAAAUUGACAGCAGCCUCUAGAAACUGGAAGUGCGGCUGAGAGCAAUGUUACCAGCAGAGAAUUGCCCUCCUUGCAAGAGAAUUUGGUGGGUUUUGGUCAAAGUACACAUAAGAAUUCCUACAGGAAGAUUUGAAGCCUUUGUCCAGGAUGACCUCUGUGUUUUCUUUGGGACCGUGGACUCGAGGAGUGUUUCCCUUUUGGGUUUUGCUGGGCAGAAAGACCAUGAAAAUUCUCAUGUCCAUAGAGACCAGGAAGCUUAGAUUCUCACACUGUUUUCUUGCACUAGAUGCCGGCCGAUGACGCAACUAAUAAUAAUGGCAUGGCUUUGGAGCGCCCCACUCCAGUGACAAACAAUCGGGGUGAAGAAGAAGAAGGUGGGUCUUCCUUGCGGGCAUUGGUUGGAGAGCAGCCAGAUCCUGGGUUCCUUUUGGAAAGGGGGUAGUCUGGGAUGUGGAGCAGGCAGCUCUUUCCCAGUCAUAGUGAUGCCCUGGUGGCACCUGCCCUGGACACAAGUCUCUUGUGUUGAUUCCUUGGGUUGUGACACAUUCCGAGGGACAGGGAGUGAGGUCCAUGUGUGAGCACAUGUGGUGUAAGUAUCUGUUUCCUCAUGAGCUCUCUCCUAUUUAUACAGAAAAUACACCGCUCAACGUUCCUUAAGAAACAUCCCAUCACCUCUGCGUACCACCCCUAUAGGCAUGCAUUCGCCCCUCACCACUGCUGUCCCCACGUUGGCUUAAUUUUCCCGUUGCUCAGGUGGAGAUGGUGCAGAGAGAGUUGGCCCAAGCUCUUGACCUCCUACAUGGGAAAGCCAAAGUGGGACCCAGGCUGGGUUCCCUAUGGGGACGCUCUGGACCCCUGACCUGCACCUCUCCCUCAGCCAGGACUUGGUCGUUCGUGGGGAGCACGGAGCGGGGAGGGUCCCUGCUCCGUGUCUAUGCCCGGGAAUUCCAGGGUCUCCAGAGGGCCUGUCGAUGCUGUGCAUUUUAAAAGGUCCCUGUCAGUGCUGCGGUCAUUGCUUCAACAUGGCCAAAGCAGAUGGGAAUCGGCGAGGCGUAUGCUUGUAUUGGACAGUGUCACUGUCAUUCUCACACUUGACCACCCUAGGUAGCACACACCCAGGCGAUCUUGCAAGUAAGAGCUCAGAGUUCACCCUCAUCCUGGUGUCCGGCACCACUGUACAAACUUGCUGCCCACCUGGGUGAGAAGGACUCUGUGUUCCCUCUGUGUUUCUCUCCAUGAAAUAAGUCCCUCAUGUUGUAAGACUCUUG